ACUCAAAUGAAUUGACGGGGGCCCGCACAAGCGGCGGAGCAUGUGGAUUAAUUCGAUGCAACGCGAAGAACCUUACCUGGGUUUGACAUGCGCCAGACGCUGGUAGAGAUAUCAGUUCCCUUGUGGUUGGUGUGCAGGUGGUGCAUGGCUGUCGUCAGCUCGUGUCGUGAGAUGUUGGGUUAAGUCCCGCAACGAGCGCAACCCUUGUUCCAUGUUGCCAGCGGCCAGUGACUCUGUUGCUGGGCCGGGGACUCAUGGGAGACUGCCGGGGUCAACUCGGAGGAAGGUGGGGAUGACGUCAAGUCAUCAUGCCCCUUAUGUCCAGGGCUUCACACAUGCUACAAUGGCCUAUACAGAGGGCUGCGAGACCGUGAGGUGGAGCGAAUCCCUUAAAGUGGGUCUCAGUUCGGAUCGGGGUCUGCAACUCGACCCCGUGAAGUUGGAGUCGCUAGUAAUCGCAGAUCAGCAAUGCUGCGGUGAAUACGUUCCCGGGCCUUGUACACACCGCCCGU
rnacentral:rRNA from 1 species